rnacentral:rRNA from 1 species
UACGUAGGGAGCAAGCGUUGUCCGGAAUCAUUGGGCGUAAAGCGCGCGUAGGCGGCCCUGUAAGUCCGCUGUGAAAGUCAAAGGCUCAACCUUUGAAAGCCGGUGGAUACUGCAGGGCUAGAGUCCGGAAGAGGCGAGUGGAAUUCCUGGUGUAGCGGUGGAAUGCGCAGAUAUCAGGAGGAACACCAAUAGCGAAGGCAGCACCUCUGGGACGUGGCUGACGCUGAGACGCGAAAGCGUGGGGAGGCAAACAGG